rnacentral:rRNA from 1 species
UACGAAGGGGGCUAGCGUUGUUCGGAAUUAUUGGGCGUAAAGGGAGCGUAGGCGGUUCGGCAAGUCUCUAGUGAAAUCUCUGGGCUCAACCCAGAGUCUGCUGGGGAAACUGCCGGGCUUGAGUAUGGGAGAGGUGAGUGGAAUUCCCGGUGUAGCGGUGAAAUGCGUAGAUAUUGGGAGGAACACCGGUGGCGAAGGCGGCCCCCUGGACCGGUUCUGACGCUGAGGCGCGAAAGCGUGGGUAGCACACAGG